AGAAUCAACGCUGGCGGCGUGCCUAACACAUGCAAGUCGAACGCGAAAGCCCCGAAAGGGGCAAGUAGAGUGGCAAACGGGUGAGUAACGCGUGGGUGACCUGCCUUCGAGCGGGGGAUAACGUUCCGAAAGGGACGCUAAUACCGCAUAACAUCCUGCCCUUGAACGGGUGGUGAUCAAAGCUGGGGAUUCGCAAGAACCCGGCACUUGAAGAGGGGCCCGCGUCUGAUUAGCUAGUUGGUGAGGUAACGGCUCACCAAGGCAACGAUCAGUA
rnacentral:rRNA from 1 species